rnacentral:rRNA from 1 species
AUUGAACGCUGGCGGCAGGCCUAACACAUGCAAGUCGAGCGGAUGAAGGGAGCUUGCUCCUGGAUUCAGCGGCGGACGGGUGAGUAAUGCCUAGGAAUCUGCCUGGUAGUGGGGGAUAACGUCCGGAAACGGGCGCUAAUACCGCAUACGUCCUGAGGGAGAAAGUGGGGGAUCUUCGGACCUCACGCUAUCAGAUGAGCCUAGGUCGGAUUAGCUAGUUGGUGGGGUAAAGGCCUACCAAGGCGACGAUCCGUAACUGGUCUGAGAGGAUGAUCAGUCACACUGGAACUGAGACACGGUCCAGACUCCUACGGGAGGCAGCAGUGGGGAAUAUUGGACAAUGGGCGAAAGCCUGAUCCAGCCAUGCCGCGGGUGUGAAGAAGGUCUGCGGAUGGUAAAGCACUUUAAGUUGGGAGGAAGGGCAGUAAGUUAAGACCUUGCUGUUUUGACGUGACCAACAGAAUAAACACCGGCGAACUUCGU